rnacentral:rRNA from 1 species
UACGGGGGGGGCAAGCGUUGUUCGGAAUUACUGGGCGUAAAGGGCUCGUAGGCGGCCAACUAAGUCAGACGUGAAAUCCCUCGGCUUAACCGGGGAACUGCGUCUGAUACUGGAUGGCUUGAGGUUGGGAGAGGGAUGCGGAAUUCCAGGUGUAGCGGUGAAAUGCGUAGAUAUUCGGAAGAACACCAGUGGCGAAGGCGGCUCACUGGCGUUGGUAUUGACGCUGAGGUGCGAAAGCGUGGGGAGCAAACAGG